GAACGCACAUUGCGCCCUUUGGUAUUCCUUAGGGCAUGCCUGUUCGAGCGUCAUUUCAAACUUCAAGCCCCCCCUUUAGCUUGGUGUUGGGCGUCUGUCCUCCCCCCGGGACUCGCCUCAAAUGCAUUGGCAGCCGGCACGUUGGCUUCGAGCGCAGCAGAAACGCGCGCGGCGUCCGACGGUGCCUGGCUCUCCAGGAAGCCUCCACCUCAAGUUUGACCUCGGAUCAGGUAGGGAUACCCGCUGAACUUAAG
rnacentral:misc_RNA from 1 species